rnacentral:rRNA from 1 species
AUGAACGCUGGCGGCGUGCCUAACACAUGCAAGUCGAACGGAGAUUAGCGCUGACGAGACUUCGGUCAAAUCUUGUUAAAUCUUAGUGGCGGACGGGUGAGUAACGCGUGGGCAACCUGCCUCAUACUGGGGGAUAGCAGUUGGAAACGACUGAUAAUACCGCAUAAGCGCACGAGAUCGCAUGAUCUAGUGUGAAAAACUCCGGUAGUAUGAGAUGGGCCCGCGUCAGAUUAGCUAGUUGGUAAGGUAACGGCUUACCAAGGCGACGAUCUGUAGCCGGACUGAGAGGUCGGACGGCCACAUUGGGACUGAGACACGGCCCAAACUCCUACGGGAGGCAGCAGUGGGGGAUAUUGCACAAUGGAGGAAACUCUGAUGCAGCGACGCCGCGUGAGUGAAGAAGUAUUUCGGUAUGUAAAGCUCUAUCAGCAGGGAAGAAAGGCUCGCAAGAGAGAUGACGGUACCUGACUAAGAAGCCCCGGCUAACUACGUGCCAGCCGCCGC